CGGGCCGCCGACCUCCAUUUUGCUCUUGCCAGACGGUCGCGCUGCGCAUGUUGCGGACCGAGGGCAGUUCUUCGGCGCCAUGGAUUGGCUUGCCACGACGUUCAGGCACGGGGCGUGUAGUUGCAGUACGUACGAGUCGCGUUUCAACUUUUUUUUUCUCUCUGUGUGUGUGUGUGGACUUUACCUGGACUUGGGGAGCUGUGUACCAGGAACUGCGUCGCCUGGGAUUCAUCGAGGACCACUGCAAGCUUCGUCGUCGGCAUCGUAAUUGGUGAGCCCCAAUAUAUGGCAGGCCGGCGAGGUGUGGGGCGUGUUCACCGAACGUCACUCGCUAUAGUUUCCUAGCUCAACCGAAGUUAAAGGUUGCGUGGAACUUUAGCGAGCGGGUUCCUUGAAAACUGCUGCCACUUCGGGUCCAACUCCCCGUGACACAGGCGCGCGUACUACAGCUUUCAGGCUUAGCUUACGGUUAGGUAGGUAGGUAGCUCGUCAGGGGUUGUGUUCACGGGCGGACUCGACGCUGGGAUGCUCGUGGCGCUCCCGUGGCCGCCAUUUCGUGCCAGACUUCUGGUGCGUAAUGGGGGUUUUCGCGGGCCGCAAAGCGGCGUCCCGGUGUAAUUGCCUCGUCGGCUUGUCCCCACACUUCAAGAAACUGGCGACGUUUGAACUUCAAGUCUGCACAACGCGUCGCGUCGGGGACCUGCUACGGGAGGAGCGCAGCUUCAACUUGGCUGCUAGACCAGAGUGCAUAUGGACCAGCCGUGGCUUCGCGCUCAAGCGUUAUUCGAGCGCUGACGUACUGACACGCCCCGUGCCACACCGGCGUAUCUUGCGCACUAUAUAUCGCCGACGGGAGUCCUGAUGGCGGACGUGCUCCCGGCAUUGGAUCGACUUUGCAAAGGGGCGGUGACACCUGGACCAUGGACUGCAUAACCAGGAACCCCUGACAAGGAGGUGCACUGCCAGCAAUUCGUCAAGGACCACUGAAAUAGCAAUCAUUGCUGCGAGAUUCGCUAGCGGCACCAAGCUGGCAGCUCUGCAUCUGGCGCCCGCAAUGGACGAUCCCACAGGUCCUUGCCUUUCAUCCAGUUCUUGCUCCACCAAAGAUGACGUCUGUGGUUUUACCAUCCCUCAGCAGACAGUUUCUUCUCCCUGCUGGUGCCUACUGCGUUCUCUUAAUGGACCUUUGCUCGGCAAUCUGCAGUCACUUGCCUUGCCAACCUUCGCACCUGGUGCACGCGAGGGACGAUCCCGCAAGUCUUUGUACGUCAUCCACUCCUUGCUCCCCGGAAGAUGACGUCGCCACUUGACCGUUCCUCAGCUGACGGUGUUUCUUCGCUCUGCUAGCAUCCACAGCGCUUUUCUGGUGGACCUUUGCUGCGUGAUCUGCAAUAACUCGCGCAGCUUGCCAACCUCUGCAUCUGGUGCAUGCGACGGACGAUCUUGUCGGUCCUUCAAGUACAUCGUCUAGUCUUUGCUUCAUGAACGUCCUUGGUCGAACAUCCUUCAGACGAGUAUUUGAUCUCUCUGCUUGGUGGUCUGCAGUGACUCGGGCAAGUACAUUUUUUCUGGUGACGCUUUAGUGGGCUAUGUGUUUGCAUAUUGCCAAGCGCUAGUAAGCCUUCAUGUAAUAAAAUAUUCUGCCGCAUUGGGGACUAUCAUCUCUUGGAAUCCACUCUUACCAGAUCAUGUUAAGGAGAGUAGUGGAAAUUUU